AUCCUGUAUCGGUGCUCUACGGACAAUUCCUUUGACCUCGUGGCUUGGUUCUUGCUUGACAGAAAUUCAGAUCCACAGACAGCGACACGCAGCUCGAUUAUCUCACAUCGAUUGUUCCGCCUGCAACGAUGGCUUCUGCAUUAGAUUACUGCUGCCUUUCUGACUCCCACAUGUACCGGAAAUAUGGCGGCGCCCACGGUCGAAACGCAAGUCGUUCCAGCUAAAAAAACAACCGUAAAAUGAUUUGAUUCUUCCCCAAGUACGAAGACCACGGCAGGUGGCCAAUCAAAUUCCUGAUGAAAUCCUGCAAGACCCAGAGUUACAGGAGGCUAUCCGCGCUCUGCCUUCAAAUCACAACUUUGAGAUCCACAAGACAGUCUGGCGGGUGACACAGGCCACGUCUAAGAGAGUGGCCCUGCAGCUACCAGAGGGACUGCAGAUGUUUGCCUGUGUCAUCGCUGACAUCAUCGAGAGGUUCACAGAGGCAGACACCAUUGUGAUGAGGGAUGUGACGUACGGAGCCUGCUGCGUGGACGACUUCACGGCUCGGGCCCGGGGGGCCGACUUCAUGGUGCACUACGGCCACAGCUGCCUC